UACCAGCUCUCCGAGUGGUGUGGAUGUUUAUUGGGCCUAAAGCAUCCGUAGCUGGCUGGGCAAGUCCCCUGUUAAAUCCACCGAUUUAAUCGUUGGUGUGCGGGGGAUACUGUUCGGCUAGGGGACGGGAGAGGCCGACGGUAUUUUCGGGGUAGGGGUGAAAUCCUAUAAUCCCGGGAAGACCACCAGUGGCGAAGGCUGUCGGCUAGAACGCGCCCGACGGUGAGGGAUGAAAGCUGGGGGAGCGAACCGGAUUAGAUACCCGGGUAGUCCCAGCUGUAAACGAUGCAGGCUAGGUGUUUGGGCGGCCACGUGCCGCUCUAGUGCCGCAGAGAAGUCGUUAAAGCCUGCCGCCUGGGGAGUACGGCCGCAAGGCUGAAACUUAAAGGAAUUGGCGGGGGAGCACCACAAGGGGUGAAGCUUGCGGUUU
rnacentral:rRNA from 1 species